rnacentral:rRNA from 1 species
GGGGAAUAUUGCACAAUGGGCGAAAGCCUGAUGCAGCAACGCCGCGUGAGUGAUGAAGGCCUUCGGGUUGUAAAGCUCUGUCUUUUGGGACGAUAAUGACGGUACCAAAGGAGGAAGCCACGGCUAACUACGUGCCAGCAGCCGCGGUAAUACGUAGGUGGCGAGCGUUGUCCGGAUUUACUGGGCGUGAAGGAUGCGUAGGCGGAUUUUUAAGUGAGAUGUGAAAUACCCGGGCUUAACUUGGGUGCUGCAUUUCAAACUGGAAGUCUAGAGUGCGGGAGAGGAGAGUGGAAUUCCUAGUGUAGCGGUGAAAUGCGUAGAGAUUAGGAAGAACACCAGUGGCGAAGGCGACUCUCUGGACCGUAACUGACGCUGAGGCAUGAAAGCGUGGGUAGCAAAC